rnacentral:rRNA from 1 species
UCUCUCCUACGGGGGGCAGCAGUGGGGAAUAUUGCACAAUGGGGGAAACCCUGAUGCAGCGACGCCGCGUGAGCGAAGAAGUAUUUCGGUAUGUAAAGCUCUAUCAGCGGGGAAGAAAAAUGACGGUACCUGAGUAAGAAGCACCGGCUAAAUACGUGCCAGCAGCCGCGGUAAUACGUAUGGUGCAAGCGUUAUCCGGAUUUACUGGGUGUAAAGGGAGCGUAGACGGCAUGGCAAGUCUGGAGUGAAAGCCCGGGGCCCAACCCCGGGACUGCUCUGGAAACUGCCAUGCUAGAGUGCUGGAG